GCCAUUGAGGUUCUAGAUCUUUGGGGAUGUUUACGAUCCUCCAGUGGAGUUACUUGCUUCGUUUGAGCAGAGCUGUAUUUGCUCGGGCUCCUCGUCAAGGGUGGAUGAGAGAACCCUCGUAGUCGAGCCAUAAAUACAGUGAACCUUGCAACUCCAGAUUCAAUUUGAUGGAGCGUCUUCAAAAUCUACAACUAAUUCUCCUGCCUCCCGUUCACAAGUUAGAAGGACCGUCCGUCAAGCCUCGUCCGGUCAAAUAGGUGGCCUCUGCCAAAAGCUUAUGCACUCUUAGCGACUCUAACUUUAUGUUUCUUUUGGUGCAAGCUUCUGGUUGUAACUCCAUCUGCUACUGAAGUUCUAUAAUUUCCCCUUCCUUCUAUUAUUAUGUUUUUUUCUUCUUAUUAAGAAAACGUGAGCGAUUAUUUUGUGCUACGAUGACACUGUACUAGAUCAUUUCCACCUGGUUCACAAUUCACAAACGAGUGCUUCGUGGCCUCGUGUGGACGUGUCAACUUUUGCAGCUGCAGUCCGUCCGCAUGAAAACAACGUAAGAAACAAUCGGUACGGUUCCGGAAGCCUGGCCGGCAGUGCAGCAGCCCGGCACCUGCACCGCGUUCGCGUCCAGGUGAGGCCGACCUGACCUGACCCCCCAACCUCCCAUGGCUCCACCGAGCGCCCGUAUCGACGUGUCGAAUCCAAUCCAAUCGACCUUUAUGCUGCCGCCAUGAAUUCACUCGCUUUCCUUUGCCGCCCGUCACCACUGACGCCUUCCGCCUCCCCCUCCAUCUCCCUCUCCGUCCCCCAGUCGUCCUGUAUAAAGCUCCCCCGCUCGCGGCCAGCAGCUCACCGCCACCGCACCGCCGCCGCCGCCAGGAUUUCCUCCCGAACCGUCGCCAUGGCAACCGCUGCUGCACCACCGGUCAUGUGAGUCUGCAGAAUCUUCAGUCUGCCGCUCGUGCUGUUCCGGAAUCUGGAUCUAGAAUAUUAAAUUGCUCGAUUUCCUAAUGUCGUGUUCCAUUCUCUAAUCGGACAUGUGCAGCUUCCCGAAAGAAAAUCUCCCCCCUUCCCUGACCUCCACCUCAGAACCCCCUCCGCUCUUCGAUGGCACGACCAGGUGAAUUUUAACCCAACUGGAAAUGGAAUUGCGUUGCAGAUAUAUCUCGUGGUUUAUCACUUCUGCACAUAUCUAAGGAUAAACUGAUUUUUAUUUCUCCUGUAGGUUGUAUGUUGCAUAUCACUGCCCGUACGCGCAGCGCGCUUGGAUUACCAGGAACUGCAAGGUAACACGCUAGCGUUCUUUGAUUUGCUGAUUUGCAGUCCAUAGUCCACACUUUCACUGGACUUGUGCUGAUAAAAGUUGCAUCUUUUCUUUAUAUGCUUUAUUGUCCAGGGUUUGCAGGACAAGAUUAAGAUAGUAGCGAUCGAUCUGGCAGACAGGCCAGUUUGGUACAAGGAAAAGGUUUAUCCAGAGAACAAGGUAUGGUUAAUCUCAGUUCUUUCUCACGUGUAUAAUCUCUUGCUCUGUUUGCAGUCCAUCAUUUCUCUGAUCUCCAUGCACACGUACCUUUAUUUUACUACAGGUGCCUUCACUGGAGCAUGACAACCAAGUGAAAGGCGAGAGCUUGGAUUUGGUCAAGUACAUUGAUAGCAAUUUCGAAGGCCCAGCUUUGCUUCCUGAAGUAUGCAUAUUUGUUCAACCAUCAUAAGAGUGAUGCUUGUACAGAGAUUACAACAAUUUCUCGGUGUUAUUUACCUUUGCAUCCAUAAACUGGCAGGAUUCUGCAAAGAAGCAGUCCGCUGAGGAGCUACUUGCGUAUACAGAUGAGUUUAACAAAGCAUUAUACUCAUCCAUACUCUCCAAGGGAGAUGUGUCAGAGGAAACUGGUAAAAGAGCAUCGCUAUUACUGUAACCUGUUUAAUCAUUUGAUAACUUCUACACGCAAUUUGUAUUCAUAUUAUAAUUGCAAUCUAUCAUGCAUUAUCUUUCAUUAGUUGCCGCGCUGGAUAAAAUAGAAGCUGCCCUGGGAAAGUUCACCGAUGGUCCUUUCUUGCUUGGCCAGUUCAGUUCGGUAUGCACAUCAGUCUGCGGUUCCUGUAAAUUUCCUUUGAUAAAGGACUAGAAAGAAUUGUGGUUAACAUGUGCUCUUGCUGUGAUGCUAAUUUCUGCACAGGUGGACAUUGCAUAUCUUCCAUUUAUUGAAAGGUUUCAGAUAUUCUAUUCUGGUAUCAAGAACUACGAUAUCACCAAGGGCAGACCGAACUUUCAGAAAUACAUCGAGGUGAUUCUGAAUGAUACGAGAUGAGAUUAUGCCAUAUUUUAAUGUUAUGUUAAGAGGAAUUUUAGGAGACACGCAAAUUAACAUGAGCCGUUAAUUUUCCAAAAUCCAAUGGCUAGAACCAUGUAGGCGUAGUUGUUGUGGACACCAUGACAAUAGUACUGUUAUCUCAUGGUCCCUCCUCACAAAUAUAUAAGGUCAACGCGGAAUUUUGUGUCAAACUUUGACCAACUAUUAGACUAGUAGUAUGAGGUUAUUACAAUGCAAAAGUGAUAUUAUUGAAUUUGUAUUGGAAAAUAUAUUCUGAUGGUAUAACUUCUAUACAUAUAUAUCCAAAUAUUUUUUGUCCAAUGAUUAGUCAAAAUUUGACAUAGAAUUCCAUGUUGGCCUUGUAUAUUUGGAAGGAGUGAGUAAUCAGUAACCUUAUGAAGUUUAGAUUUUGCACUUUGCCCAAGUAUAAAAGUAAAUGAUAACGCCAUUAGAGCAUGAUGGCAAAAGGAUAGAAAGAAUUAGUGCUAAUUACCAUGAUCUUACCUUCCUCUUUUGGCCCCAUUACUUGUUUCUGGAUUGACUUAUUUUUCUUUGCAUGCCAAGGUUUAUUAAACCACUAACCAUUGGUAACAAUACACAUAUGAUUGUAUAUUUGUUAGGCUGAAAUUUUUGGUCUAUAUGAAAAAGGCACGACCGAGGACCUAAAAAACUUUUUGUAGGUUCUUGAGUUGCCCAUAGCCCACUGUGAAUAUUUUCACAAAACUUGAAAUCUGAACAUAAUGUUGAGUCAUGUAUAUGUGUUUUUUUUAAAGUAUAUUUCCUUUUUGAAAGAGAGCACAUGCCAAGGCUAUUGUUCUGCCAAGGCUGUAAUUUCAUGGCAACCCUUUGCCGAGGAGAAGGCUUAACUCCCAAUUGAUAUGUUACAGGAAGCAAACAAGAUCGAUGCGUAUACACAGACCAAACUGGAACCACAAUUUCUGCUUGAUCAAACAAAGAAGCGUCUUGGGGUAACAUGUUUCUUUUCUUUACAGCUUUGUUGUGUAAUUUUCUUCAAUUGUCUAAUUGUUUUGCACUUACACACUUUAACUUUCAGAUUGAGUGAAUAUGUCACCAAGGAUAAACAAGAGGCGCAGCAUGGAAUAUGAAGACUUAGUCACUCGAUCAGGAGUGUGCUUGUUUGUUAGAUGGUAUUUGAAUAAAAAAGAUGUAUGCUACUAUGCUCCUGCCUUUUGAGAAUAAGGUGGUUGUGUUGUGAUUAUAGUUUGACGGUAUGCCAAUGUUUAUGGAUGAGAAUAAUCAUAUACUCCCUCGGUCCCAAGUGACUCGAAUUUGUCCAAAUAUGGAUGUAUCUAUACCCAAAAAACGUCUAGAUACAUGUAGUAUUUCGUCACUUAAUAUGGGACGGAGGGAGUAUUUUGUUGAAUGUUUAUGAGUAUAGUGAAACGAUGCUUCUAUGAUAUCAUGUUAACCAUUUACUUGUGGUCUUCGUAUUAAAACUAGCAUAGUGCCCUUGCGUUGAUACAAAACCAAAUAAAAAGAGCAAGGAUAUAAUUUGCCAAAUGAAUGCUUUUCUUUGGAUUGAUCAUCGGUCAUAUGCGUAAGACUAUUUCACAUGGAUUUGUAUAAGAAUCUAUAUAAAUCCACAUCAUUUAUUUUGGGACGGAGGGAGUAAUAGUUAAACGGGAAAGAAAGACAAUGGAUCACUAUGCUUGUUCAGACCAUAGCUGCAAAUGGUGUUGCCACAAAUUUGUACUUCUCGCUUUCAGUACUUCUGUUUUUUCAAAACCUGUCACUGUCAGUACUCGGUACAGUACCUUUUAGUUUGGCAGGUCGCGAAGAAUUGUCAGAUCCAGCGAUCGCACCAGCUAAAUUGUAGGGCAGUUUUCCCCUUGUGCCAUGGACGUGUCUUCUUUACGAAAAAUGAUACGCCAUAUCGUUAAUUGUCCCUGAGAAACUGCAGCAAGAUGUAUGCGGGUUAUAUGGUGCCACGAUCCAUGAGUGACAUGGCAUCGGCCAGUACCACUCCUUUCUUCUUCGCGGUUGAUCGUCACAGCUGACGCCUGAGCUCAAGUUUUCUCCAAAUCUUCCCUACCAGCCUCCACUGACUACUGUACUCUGGUUUACCAGUCUACCCGAGAACAGUACUGUUUCCGCUUACAAAAUCCGCAUUUCUGCGCAUCCUGAAUCCCUGAUCACUGCCUUGGCAAUGGCAGCAUCACCAGCAAGCAGGGACAUGUGCAGUUCCUUUCUCACUCUGCUGCCAUGAUCAUGAUCAUAUAUACUACUCCCUUGGUCCCAUAAUUCUUGCCGCCGUUUUAGUUCAAAUUAUGGGACGGAGGGAGUAUGAUAUAGCUGAGCUGAAUCUGAGAUGAACAUUUGUAAGUUUAUGAUCUCUCAGUAUGAAAUGUAGGUUUGCUGAAGAAGCUCUCCCGCGUACCUUGACAUCCGCGUCCGACCAGCCACCUCCCUACGAUGGCACAGCCAGGCAAUCAAUCCCGUGUUUUGGGCUGUCUGUAAUGCGUUUUACCUUGCUCACAUGUGGGGAUUAAUAAAGCUGGGAUUACAUACAGGUUGUACAUGUCGUACACUUGCCCGUACGCGCAACGAGCAUGGGUCACGAGGAACUGCAAGGUACCAAACCGAUUAACCGAGCCGUUCUUGUGAUGAUGAUGUUCUUCAUUUUCCCACAUGAGCUGCAUGCCUACUUUGGUUAGUUUCACUUCAUCUUUCUGCGUUUUGCGUUGCCGUUGUUUCCGGCAUCAGGGUUUGCAGAAGAAGAUCGAGUUAGUCCCCUUGGAAAUGGCAGAUAGGCCAGCGUGGUACAAGGAGAUUUACCCCAAGAAUACGGUGUGGCUGUACUAAAAUACAUACAAGUCUCCUACUCCCUCCGAUUCAUAAUAAGUGUCUUGAACUUUGCAUGGAUCGGAGGGAGUAUUUUAAUAUAAGUCUCAUGUUUAAUCCUAUAUGUUUUCUUGUGCUGACAAGGUGCCUAGCUUAGAGCACAACAACAAAGAAUAGGAGAGAGUUUGGAUUUGAUCAAGUAUAUUGACAGCAACUUCGAAGGCCCUAAACUGACUCCUGAUGUGAGUCAAUAGUAACCGUUUUGUCUCCAAAUGCUGAAGUAGCAUGCACCGUCUCUUAGGUUGGCAUCCCCAUUGACAACCUUUUGUUUUUUCUUUUUUUAACUAAUUUACUUUAGGAUUCGGAAAAGCGAAGGUUUGCAGACGAACUGCUGGCUUAUUCAGAUACCUUCAAUCUGGCGAUGCUCUCCGGGCUGACCUCUACGAGUCCUGUGACUGCUGAAGCUGGCAAGAAUUGAGAAAAUUUACUAAGUUUCAGUUCUAAAUUAUACUACUCUCUCUGUCUAACAAAGGAUGUCUCAACUUUGACUAAAUUUUAAUGCAUCUAUACACUAAGUCAUGUCUAGAUACAUUCAAAUUUUGACAAAUUUGAGACAUCUUUUGUUUGACGGAGGGAAUACUAUAUUCAAACUGGCUACUGUACUCACUUAUGAAAGCAUUAUUGAACCCUUAUCAUCAGUUGCUGCUCUGGACAAAAUAGAAUUCUCCCUUUCAAAAUUUGACGAUGGGCCUUUCUUCCUUGGCCAGUUUAGUCUGGUAAGUUGCAGUUUAUGUCUUGUCAGCUAUAGUGUUUUAGUCAUUCAAAGAACUAACGACGUUCAUUUGGUAGGUGGACAUCGCAUAUGCACCAUUUGUCGAUGGAUUCCAGAUAUUCUUCGCUGACAUAAAGAAUUACGAUACCACCGCAGAAAGGUCUAACACACGGAGAUUCAUCGAGGUAGCAAAAACCAUAACAUCUUUUGAGUGUCCAUUAUCCUUGAUUUACAUAUGACACCAAAGGAAAAAAAUUGUCACAGGAAAUGAACGACAUUGCGGCAUACGCGCAUACAAAGUAUGACGCCCAAGAACUGGUUGCUCUCACAAAGAAGAAGCUCGGGGUAAGGCGUUCUAGCCGUGAUUAGCUGAGUAUCAAUGCCAAUACUGAGGUAUAUAUAUAUGCACUUUCUUGUGAUACUGAUGGAGUGCUGAUGUUUUACUGCAGAUAUAAAGGAUAUUUCACUUGACGAACGUUGCAUGGAGCACAUAUGUGACCAGCCUGCCUGCUCCGAGCGCAAUAAAAUAAUAAAGGAAAUAGUUGUACUGUAUUCACUAUGUAUUUCUAGAUGGAGAGGUAUUACUAGUACUCCGUAAUAAAAGAAAAUAGUUGUACUGUAUUCACUAUGUACAAAAUGUGAUACUUUUUAUGGAGUGCUACCAGAACCGCUCAUGCCACCAACUGUCGAAACACAAAAACCUCCCGAUUCGCCUAAAACCGGAACUAUAGGGGACUAGGUACCACUGUACCCGGGUUCAGGGAGGUCAAUCCCACGCUCUCGUGUACUUGAGCAUAAUGUAAGAACGGAACAAAACAAAAAUUCCUCAUCUCAGACACGAACUACGCCCAGAGUGCACCAGACUUCUAGCUGCAUGGCUGCAACCUCCAGGCUAUAGAGCACUCGAAUACAGUUUCAGAGUGCCAGCGAGAAAAUAUCAAGUAUUAACAUUUAUGGGACGAAUUCGUUCAGCUGCUUCUACUGUGAAGGGAAAUAGUAUAACUUCCAGGUUACACAGGAAAGAUGAGAAUGAAAACAGUACAGUUCAACUGAGCACCAGCAGAAAAAGCAUGAAUCAAGCGGUCAGUCGAAGGGAGCUUGUAAAACCAUACAUUUCUACCACAUGCAUGGAUAGACUUCAAAUCCUAGCAGGGCCAAUUGUAAGAAGGUGAUUCAAAUAUGAUAAGAUUUGGUGGGUUAAUGAAUAACCCGCAUGGUAACAGCAUUGUUCAGACAGAAACCCUUGUUUUUAGCAAUGAAGGCAUUGGUUGCAUCAGUCUUCGAGCGGAACUUAACCAGCACCAUUCUUAUGGGCUCUGGGUCGCCAGGUCUGUGCACCAGCCAUCCAGAGAAUCAGACAAGGAUGAAUGUAGCGAACAACAUCCUAGCAAACAAAGAUGGCUAACAAAAAUUAUCACCUGAUAAAGUUUUCAAAUGGAGGAGGUUCGAAGUUAGUGCCACACAAGAAGCGUUCUAUGUCAUCUGGUUGAGCGUUUCGAGGGACUCCUUGCAGUAGUACCUGGAUAGACCCAAACAGCAAAAACAAAAGUAGCAUCAUGAUUAUUUCCACAUGAAAUCACUCAGAAGAUAUCAAUAAUUGCAUGAUACAUUGCAGGAACAAGAGCAUGAAUUAAACUGUCAACAGAAAAAGGGACUUUCCUCCCCUACUGCAUUUCUUGAUAUUUGCACAAUCAAUAGCAUCGGAGAAGAGAGGUAAUGUUAGCUGUAUAACUUAUCUAGUAAAAGGCAACUAUAUCACUUACAGCUUUUCCAUCAUAAGACUGCUUGUGAUCCCACUCAUCACGAUUUAUCUGUGAUAUCAAAUUAGAAUAUAUAUAUCAGUGUAAAAGAAUUUACUGAAACCAACUAAGAAAAUUGAUAAAAGUAAUUUCAGUGACAUUACCCUCUCAAGCCUGUACAGGCGACCCUGACUUAUUUGCCUCAAUGCUGCGUUAAAUGCUUGAAUGGAAGGAAACUUCAACAACCUGAUCAGGUGUAGACAUUUUCAGGUUGAUACUCACUUUAAGAAAUCAGCAAGAUAAAGCUAUAUUCGACUGAGAACCCACGACAAUGUCAUAAUACCAACUAUACUACUACAGAAGAAUCAAAGAAGGCAUGCCAUACAUUUGUAACAAAGACAGAUUUUGAUAGGACGGAAUUAGCUAACCGUGCUUAAACAGGCUUUCUUAGUAUCACGUGGAGAACAUUAAUACGAAGAAAUUAUAUCAGACAUGCAAGGAAAAGUGAAAUGAACUACAAAUGCUCACUUUGGUAUACUGCAUUAAAAGAUCGUUACUACAUGUCUACACCACGCAGACAGAUCAACAAAGCCUAGUAAGGACUCACAAACAAUUUAGCCUAAGCAUAGGUGGGGCUUCUUGAAAAACUAACAAAAAUUAUCCAAUCCAUGCAUGAACCACAAAACAAGGUGCGCAUUCAAGCACGUCCUAAAAGGUUCAAAACAAUGCAAAGAACCAAAUCAGUUGGAAACUCUCAAGCACUACUGAAUGCAAUAGACAUUAGUAUAACCUUUCGAGCAUAUGCAGCCCCAAGUUCAAGUGAAAAUAAGGUACAUAAAUGGAUAAUAUAGAACAUCUAUGUUUCAUGCCGAAGAUCAGAAUCGGAGUAAGAAAAUAAACCGUACGCAGCCAUGGGAUAAUAUCCCCUGUUGUAAUCAAUCUUCACAUCAUCCAGCGACAAUUCACAUUUGUCCAGGUAAUGGAUGAUGUCAGUUUUCAGCAUGUUCUUGCCUAGACGGCUGCCUCCAGAAAUAGCACUGUAGAACUUCCCAUAAUAGGCCAAGCCUGUUGCAGCAGAUCAGUGUUAGUGAAAUGAACAACAUGAUGGUGUUCAAAUGCAAGUAGAUCUCAAAGUUUUCUUAUUACAAAAUGGAGGAAAUCACUUAACUCUAAAAGGGCAAUAUAGUAUAAUUACUAUGAAAAUAAUUAUUCCCUCCUUCCAUAUAUGUAAGGCCCCAUUUGAAAAUCUCCGGUACCAAGACAAAUAGCCCGUAUCUUGGAGAAGUUUUUUGUUUUUGUUUUGAUCAAUAGAUUUGGAACCCAAAAGACUUGCAAUUAAUGUAGAUUUAUAAUAGUAGACAUGAAAUGGUCGUACUUAAUGAAGAAUUGGAACCCAAGAGACUUGCAAUUAAGCGGGCACGGUUUAAAAGAGAAAAGUUCAAAAGUGGCCUUGUAUUUUGGAAAAAUAAGAUUUGGAAAGGGGCCUUACAUGCAUUGAAGGAGGGAGUAGUAUUCAUGUAUAGGAUAGUGUAGUACUCCCUCCGAUCCAUAUUAAUUGUCUCAAAUUUGCCCAAAUAUGGAUGUAUGUAUGCCUAAAAAGCGUCUAGAUACAUGUAAUAUUUCGACAAGUAAUAUGGAUCGGAGGGAGUAGCACCUAAGUCCUAAGCCAGCAAGGCAAGGGUACAAAAGCUAAAACAGAUGGACAGUAAAUCCUUCUGCUGGUCUCAUAGGAACAACAUACCCAGUUUGAAUAACGCAUAUGACAACAGCAAAAUAGCCUUUUAAAUUUCUGUUUCUACCAGUCAAAGAAUGUCUAUACAUAGUUCUCUUUAAUAGGAAUAACAAAAUCCAAAAAUGUAUGCUUCAGAAGUCAGGACGCAGGAGUAGGAACGAUAAAACUACAUAAAUCAGAGAAACACAUGAAAAUAAAAUCAACAUGAUGCCAUGAUCGUAGUGGAUGGAGGUAAAACUGUCCUCCUUGCGGGCUUGGUUGGAUACAGUGUGAUCCGACUGAAUCCCAUUGGACCCAUAGCGAAAAUGAAAGAAAAUCCUUUCAAUCCAAAGAAGCUCUUUGGUUUAUACCUUGGCGAACGACACAUUUUUUUUUCAUUGUUACUGGUCACAGUACACCCAAAGAACGUGAUGUUCUACACUAAGAUUACAACAUUAUCUCGCUUUUUAGAGGCUGUGACCUGCAUUCUCAGAGUUUGACUCUAAUAUCAUUUAUCACAAACUCACAACAGGGACUAAAAUAUGAACUCGAUCACCCGGUCCACCACAACACAUUAACUCAUAGUCCAUGCUGUAAAAAAAAACUGCAUAGUCCAUCAUCCUACAUUCCGACGCUCUUAGCUGGUAGAGACCAUUAAACCCUAAACCCCAGAGAAAUAAACUUACGAGCAUACGAGAGAACACCUAUAAAUUACAAAAACACAGCACAAGGAUGCGAGAGCUACCUUCGCUGGACGCUUUGGGGAAAGAGUCGUCUUGUGAUCCCGCUUCGACGCCGCUUGCGUCAGUGGAGAAGAGACGAGCGGAUGCCGGAUAUGCUGCCGCCGAGAUCGAGUGAGAGCGCACCCCAGAUGCGGUCACGGCGCGGCGGAGGGCAGCGGCCGCGAGCCUCGACAUGUCUCCGGCUGCGCGGCGGCGGCGGAGGGGUGCUGGCGUUGGGCGGAGUUGGAUUCAGGAGGAGAACGACGCGAAUGGACCCCGAAUGGGUUGUGACGGGUGGUAGCAAUAUUUGCGGGCUUCUUUGGACCCACUUGUGCAAAUGGGCUUAUUGGUUCUACAGAGCUACUGGACUUUCUUUGUAAGCUUACAGUUGCUGAAAUUAUUUUAUAAUUUGACUGUGAAAAAAUACAAAUAAGAGUAAAAGGAAAAAUGGUUGCCAAACUAUUCAAAAAAGGUGAGCCAAACGGGAUUAUGAGAACCACCGCAGUGCUAGAUGCAGCCUUAGUGUAAAUGGUAAGUUAUGUAGUUCAAUACGGAAACUCCGUGCGUAUGACACUUUUUUCGAUAUAAGAUAAAGGGAUUGACUACCACACAGUCCAUGCUCGGUCCUGCUCUGCUCCUUCCUAAUGCCGCUGGCUAACGGUUUUCUUUUUCCUUUGAGCUUGCGGUGUUCUGCUGACUUUCUUUAGCCUUCUAGGUCAUAAAGCACUUUGGACUUAGCCAAGAACUAUUCCGCCUUUCAGAAAAAUAGACACUGCUAGGUCAAAAACUAAACUAAACACGUACCACAUGCCACUGAAAAAAUUAUAGUUGCGGUCAUUAUACAACUGUGAAAAUUACAGUUGCAAUUAUUGUGCAAGUGAAAAAAAUCACAGGUGCAAAUAAAAAGCUAGAGCUGCAACCUCAUGCAACAAGGAAAUUUUCAGGUGCAACCAAAAAAUUACAGUGCAAUCCCAUACAAUGGGAAAAAAUAUUACAGUCUGACUGAAACAAUUACGGUUGCAAACUCCAUGCAAUUGAGAAAUUACGGUUGCAACCAUCGUGCGAUUGAAUAAACUAAAGUUAUGCAACUGAAAAAAUUAUAUUCGAAAUCAUUGUCCAACUAAAAAAUUACAAUUGCGACGCCCAUCCAACUCGAAAAAUUGCGGUUGCAAUCUGCGUGCAAUUUUGGUAUUUGGAAUGUACAACUCGUCCAAAACAAAAUUUAGGACACAAAAAUAUAAAAUAAACAAGAAAAUUUCCUAGUAUAUAUAAAUUAUUGUGGAGAUCAUAAAACAAAAUAGACCUAAAUAAAUAAUUAUAAAGAAAAACGCAUAUUGGUGCAAUAUUAGCUCAGCAUGCAACUUAUCCUAAUUACUCGCUCUAAACAGCAGAGUUUGCAUUUGAAAAGACAAAACAAAAAUAGAAAGCAUAAUACAAACAAAGGAAAGUCAAGGGGGAAAAAAGAAGCAAAAAGGAAAAAUAAACUGCUAAUGGGCUGCAAAUGGAUUCGAACUCAGUACUUCUGAGUAUUAUGACACAAACUAUACCAACCACCGAACCAACCAAUUGAUGUAGCUAGAUGGCAGUUGUUACCUUAUUUAUCUGAGAUUUGUUUGCACACAACUUCAGCACGAAUCGCGACGCCAAUCCGACGGUCAACGCUGUCGACUGAGAAAAACAAAUUCUCAGGCAACUGUUCCCUUGCAAUUCCAUAAGAUAAAUUGUAGAUUUGAUUUUCCCAUUCAGCCCUAGAUCUAGCGUGUUUUUUAAUAGGACACAGAACUACGCAUGGAAAGCCGUGAUGUGAGUAGGUCCCCUUGUAAUCUAAAAGAAUGACCUAUGAUUUAAGUUGGAACUGUAAGCUUACAAAGAAAUAAAAAAUACCUAGUUUUAACAUUCUCUAAUGUUUGGGGAUGAUGAUCCGUUGAGCUUCAUUAUUCUUUUGCUAACUGUUCAUGAAUAUAAAGCUCGCCAGGAUGGUGGUAUUCCCCUAAAUAAAAAGAACUUCCAACUGAUCCAUCACAUAUUCAAACUCCAAAUAAAUCAGCUUUAACCUAUGUGGUAUCAGGUUUCAAACUGGUUUCUACCAUGAAAAAUACAGUAAAAAAUAAUCUAUCAUCAUCAAUUGCGCUGGUGCCAGGAGACAUGGCAAUUGGAGUCGACGCU
rnacentral:lncRNA from 1 species